UGGGGGUGUGGGGAAACAAUUUUAUUUGUUCACUAUUUAAUUUUUUAAAGAAUAAUAAUACCGUUUUCAAUAAAUAUUUGCAAUGGAUUUGAAAAUUUGAAUUAAUAACUAGGAAGAUCAUGAAAAAAAAUUAGUCAUGUUGAUAUAAGUGAAUUGCUUCUAUGAUUUAUUGAUGGAUUUGAUUUAAGAAUUUCUUGAUUAAAUCUUGGGUGUUGCUCCCUCCACCACCACGUUUGCUCCAUCCACCUCCCCAACUUUUUGCAACUUUUUUUUAAUUACAAAAAUAACCUUUUUAUUUACCUUUUUUUAACCUUUUUACUUUAUUACUUUUAAUGUUAUUUACCAAACCCUAUAUACUUCAUUCACUUUUACUCCUUGCUUACAGUCCCACCCCAAACUUUCUCUUACAUUUUGAGAUUCGCCUUUCUUCUUUCCACCUCCGUCGUACUCUUUCUCGUACGUAUACCUAUAUUAUAUUAAUAUAAUAUAUUAACAUACUUUCCUUAUAUAUCUAUACUAUAUUAAAAUAAUAUAUACUCUUUUCCAACACCAACACUAUUCCCAUAUUUUAAACUACCCUCAGUAAAGUGAAUAUCAACGUUCUCCAAACAAAUCAAAGAAACACUCUCCUCCUUUUCCCAAAAUGCCGCAGGACCCACUCAAAGAAGAGUUGAAUCUUCUACCCAUGCAAAGGAAAAACUAAAACUUCCCUGCCUGCAACUUCAACCUUUCCUCCCUCAAUUAAUUCUCCCACACUCAUUUCACCUAAAACUUCUUCUUCUUCACCAUAUACAUUGAGACCACAACAUUCACAUAACCAUCACAUGCAAAAAACAAAACUUGCAGAAACUUCAUUCUUCAUUUCUUCACAACGUGGACCGCACUCCCUUUUAUUCACUUAAAACCAAACACGUAUCUCUCAAACAACCCCAUGCAGGAGUAAACCUACUCUCUACUCUCCUCUUUUAUGAACAUUCACUCCACACUAAUAAUUCUCUCUUCAUUUUAUUUCCUAAAUCCACUCACGGCAAAUUUCUCUAUAUUUCCACUAAUGCUCUCUAUCUAAAAUGAAACAAAACUUCUUCUCUUUUUACUCCCAAAGACGUGCAAAACUCUUCAUUGUAACAUCAAACACUAUGUCUUCCUAUCUCUCCUCUUUCAUCCACCGAGAUUUUUCCUCCAUGUUUCCCUACCUAUCUAACUACCAUUCACCAUUUUAACUAUACAUCACUUUUCUUUCCAUGCAUAAACCGAGACCAACACUUUACAUAAACCCCAAACACUUACCUCCAUACAUACUUAUACAUUCUUCAUUAAUGAAACUUUCAACCCUCUUUCUUCUUUUUCUCACUCUCCACAGACCACCUUCUUCUUAAUCUCCCCGUUUUCGCUCUUGUGCAAUCCCUACUACUCCUUUCUGCCUUUACUCAUGUAAAACGUAGGAAAACAAAAAUACCCACAAUGUUAUCUACCUACGCACACGUUC
rnacentral:lncRNA from 1 species